rnacentral:rRNA from 1 species
UACGGAGGGAGCAAGCGUUACUCGGAAUUAUUGGGCGUAAAGGGCGCGUAGGCGAUCCUGCAAGUCUCGUGUGAAAGCCCAGAGCCUAACUCUGGAAGGGCACGAGAUACUGAAGGAUUUGAGUUCCGGAGAGGAAGAUGGAAUUCCCGGUGUAGCGGUGAAAUGCGUAGAUAUCAAGAGGAACACCAGUGGCGAAGGCGAGUCCCUGGACAACACCUGACACUGAGGCACGAAAGCCGGGGGAGCAAACAGG